GAUGAACGCUGGCGGCGUGCCUAAUACAUGCAAGUCGAGCGAACAGACGAGGAGCUUGCUCCUCUGACGUUAGCGGCGGACGGGUGAGUAACACGUGGAUAACCUACCUAUAAGACUGGGAUAACUUCGGGAAACCGGAGCUAAUACCGGAUAAUAUAUUGAACCGCAUGGUUCAAUAGUGAAAGACGGUUUUGCUGUCACUUACAGAUGGAUCCGCGCCGCAUUAGCUAGUUGGUAAGGUAACGGCUUACCAAGGCAACGAUGCGUAGCCGACCUGAGAGGGUGAUCGGCCACACUGGAACUGAGACACGGUCCAGACUCCUACGGGAGGCAGCAGUAGGGAACCUUCCGCAAUGGGCGAAAGCCUGACGGAGCAACGCCGCGUGAGUGAUGAAGGUCUUCGGAUCGUAAAACUCUGUUAUUAGGGAAGAACAAAUGUGUAAGUAACUAUGCACGUCUUGACGGUACCUAAUCAGAAAGCCACGGCUAACUACGUG
rnacentral:rRNA from 1 species